AAAAUAAUCAUACAGAUUAUGGUUAAGGUAACACAUCAGCUAAGGUUAUUACUACUAACUGUAUAUCCUAGUAUAAGUAUUAUUUUUGGCAGGAAACAAUGCAUGGAUGCACAACUGACUUGGUAUAAGCAACAUUCAACAAAUCACACACGUGCUUGCGAUUGGACCUAACCAUAAACUGAUCUCACCUAACCAUCUGGAACGUUAUAUG